rnacentral:rRNA from 1 species
UACGUAGGGAGCAAGCGUUGUCCGGAAUCAUUGGGCGUAAAGCGCGCGUAGGCGGCCCUGUAAGUCCGCUGUGAAAGUCAAAGGCUCAACCUUUGAAAGCCGGUGGAUACUGCAGGGCUAGAGUCCGGAAGAGGCGAGUGGAAUUCCUGGUGUAGCGGUGGAAUGCGCAGAUAUCAGGAGGAACACCAAUAGCGAAGGCAGCUCGCUGGGACGGUACUGACGCUGAGACGCGAAGGCGUGGGGAGCGAACAGG